rnacentral:rRNA from 1 species
AGAGUUUGAUCAUGGCUCAGAACGAACGCUGGCGGCAGGCCUAACACAUGCAAGUCGAACGCCCUAGCAAUAGGGAGUGGCAGACGGGUGAGUAACACGUGGGAACCUUCCCUAUAGUACGGAAUAGCUCAGGGAAACUUGAAGUAAUACCGUAUACGCCCGAGAGGGGAAAGAUUUAUCGCUAUAGGAUGGGCCCGCGUCGGAUUAGCUAGUUGGUGAGGUAAUGGCUCACCAAGGCGACGAUCCGUAGCUGGUUUGAGAGAACGACCAGCCACACUGGGACUGAGACACGGCCCAGACUCCUACGGGAGGCAGCAGUGGGGAAUAUUGGACAAUGGGCGCAAGCCUGAUCCAGCCAUGCCGCGUGAGUGAUGAAGGCCUUAGGGUUGUAAAGCUCUUUUAGCAGGGAAGAUAAUGACUGUACCUGCAGAAUAAGCUCCGGCUAACUUCGUG